CACCCUCGCCUUAGUCGACCGCAAGAUUCUCCUCUACUAAAGGGUGUGCCUGGACAAGGUAACAAGAAUAACCAAGCAGCUUAAGGUAUUCUAAGAGGUCGUCCACGUUGGUCAAAAAAAAUUGCAUCGGUCCAUGCUUGAAGAUCUAACUUCAUUUGAUUGCUGUGCAUUUUCUUAGUUAGUACUCCACCUCUAUUAUGCUUCCUCAUAUACUCUUGUGUCUCUAUUGAUCUAAUGAAAGUCUGCAGAUUCAUGUAUUGGUUGAUUCGCCUUUCAUGGAUAAGUCUAAUUUUUGGUAUAUAUUGCCAUGUCUGAACUUUAUUGGUCUUUUUUUUAUUAUGCAUGUUCUUCCAUGUAAAAGCAAAUUUGAUUUGUUUACAGCUUUACUGUGAUUGGACUAUGAGGCUUCUUAUGGUUGGCUGGCUUUUGUUCUGCAUAUUGAUAGCAUCAUAUCUACAUGGCUAGCUAUUGAGAAUAACUCUUGCAGGCCAUUGAAAUCAGACUUCCUUAUCAGUUUGAUGGGGUGUCAUCGAAUCCAGAUGAUUUAGUAAUUGUCAUAG